GAUGAACGCUGGCGGCGUGCCUAAUACAUGCAAGUCGAGCGAACAGAUGAGGAGCUUGCUCCUCUGACGUUAGCGGCGGACGGGUGAGUAACACGUGGAUAACCUACCUAUAAGACUGGGAUAACUUCGGGAAACCGGAGCUAAUACCGGAUAAUAUAUUGAACCGCAUGGUUCAAUAGUGAAAGACGGUUUUGCUGUCACUUAUAGAUGGAUCCGCGCCGCAUUAGCUAGUUGGUAAGGUAACGGCUUACCAAGGCAACGAUGCGUAGCCGACCUGAGAGGGGGGACGUGCAAAAGGAGCAAGGAUACCGGGCCAGCACCCAGGGGGGGGACAGAAGGGGGAAAUCUUCAGAAAGGGGAGAAGCCGGGAAGGCGCACCGCGGGGGGGUUAAGAAGGUUUUUGGGAUUAAAAAACUGUUUGAUGGGGGAAAAAAAAAUGUAAAAGAAACUUUCCACGUUUGGAGGGACCAAAAUAAAAAGACCAGGCAAACCCCGGUC
rnacentral:rRNA from 1 species